GUCGCGAUGGCGGAGUGGUUAACGCGUUGGAUUUGAAAUCCAAUCACUUUGGUGGCGUAGGUUCGAAUCCUGCUCGCGACG